UACUGUGUACCUAGCUCGAAAGUAAGACUUUUAUUUAUACUCUCCAUCUCGUUGUUUUAUUCGUAAUUCCCCGUCCUGAAGUUUCUAGAUUCCAGCUCGUUUUCACGCUAUUCACGCCUCUAGAGGCAUUUUUAUAUCUAAAAUUCAGGUAAUUAUUAUGUCAAACACAGUUAAUGGAACAGUAAAGUGGUUUAACGAAGCGAAAGGUUUCGGUUUUAUCGAACAAGAGUCUGGAGCAGACGUAUUUGCCCAUUUCAGUGCUAUUGCUAGUUCAGGUUUCAAAACCUUAGCAGAAGGCCAGAAAGUUGAGUUCACUGUGACUCAGGGCGCCAAAGGACCACAAGCCGAAAACAUCGUAGCUGUCUAAGCUCGUUCUCGGUCAUAAAAAAGGGCAAGUCCGUAAGGACUUGCCCUUUUU
rnacentral:sRNA from 1 species